rnacentral:tRNA from 1 species
CGCGGAGUAGACUGGAGAUGGUACCAGCUCAGUCUCAUAAGCUGAACAACGUGAGUUCGAUUCUCACCUCCGCAA